UCCCCCGCGGAGGCCUCUCCGGCGAGCCGGGAGGGAGAACUUAAAGAGAAACGGAGACAUGAUGGGGGCAAAUCUUUUUCACCCCAGAGGAUUACGCAAGCUAAGGGAAUGGCCUGUGAGAGAGGCUGAGCGUCUCAGUGCAGCCCUUUCCAAGCCAGUUUUCCCUAUCCUUUGUGGACUAACAACAGCAGCUCGUUUUUUCCAGGGAAAACUCAAGGAAAUCCAUCGCUUCCAAAUGAUUCACUCCUCCAACCUGGCAGCCAGUUUCAAAAAAAAAAAGAUGUCUGAAGGAGUCUGAAGCACACUUGUCUUUCUUGCUGAGCUUCCUGUGCAACAUCUCCUCCCGACGGACUGCAGCCCUUUGCAGCUCCUUUCCUGAUCUCCACACAGCUACACAGCUCACCUCCUCCUGCCCCUUCUCGCAGCUUCUUUCUGUCUUACAAGCCUUAGUAACCUGCACACUGGUUAGAGUAGAGCUGUGUAUUUGUCCUCAUGCUCUGCACCAGGGGACAGCAUAGCAACCCUGUCAGUGACUAAGGAUCACAUCAAGGCCAGGCCACAGCAGCUGAAGAAUUGUGAAGGAUCACAACAGGAGCACAGACCUGUCACAUCUUGAGUGCUGUAUAGCACAGUCAUAAACACUCCCACACCCGUAGUUGUGCAGGGAGUGUUCACUGUGGUGAAUCUUAUGUACUAUUGGGGCUGCUGGAAUGAAGCAAAGCAAUUCAAGGGCUGCUGAAACAGAUUCAGUUCUUGAUGUGUGCUGAUCCCCUAGAACCCAAGCAGAAAAAGAGCUGCCUUGGUACAUGAAACCACUUUUGCAUCCCAUCCCCCCAUCUGUGCCUUUGAGAGAUGAUGCAGCUCAGAAUUUGGUGUCUUGUUAUCCAAGCAGAUCUGGUAUAAAUCUAAAAGGUUUUCAUGGCAGGAAGUGGUAGGUGGAGAUAUCCUAAGGGCUGGAGCAAGGCUAAGACACAGCUGCCAGGGAAACUCGGGGGGGUGAGUGGGUGGGAGGAGGCAAGAACAUCCUGGCAAGAGAGCACCUUCCCAGGGAUGAACACAGCUGAGAGAAAGUUAUUGAGAGUGUAAUGGUGCAGCAGGGGUGGGCUUCAUCCAGCGCUCACUUUAAGACCAGAUGUGGAAUACAGCUUGCUCCAUUGUGUCCUAGAGAAGUGAAACAGGAGAAGUGUCAAUCUCCUCUCCUACCUCUCCACCUUUCUCCUCUCUCUAAGUAGAAGAGGAGACCUUAUGGAAUGAGGGUAUUAUUUCCUUAAAGUAAAAACCAACCUUUUCACUCCUUCCAAUAUUCCUUUCACAUUGUUAAUUGAUUGUGCUGUUGUUACCAGCAAAAAAAGUCUGAGGAAGUCUCUGCUGGAGCCAAAAAAUGUUCUGAACUGAGACCUAGACCUCAAAUUUAGAAAUGGAAAGUGAGCAUUAGAUGACAUGCAUGGAAAUUCCAGCUGUGUUGCCUUCUUUAUUGGGCCUAAGUCUAUUUGUUCUUGAAGGCAACUCUGAGGAAGCAUCACUAGGAGAGUGCUGGCAUUUUCCAAGGACUGAGUGGGCUGGAGUACCUAGAAGCCACUGCUGUCUAUGAGAGUAUCAGGAGGAUGUUUAAGAUGUAGGCUGGUCAGAGGCCAUGCUCCCACUAAAUCUGAUUGCUUACCAACUUCUCCAAGGGAAAAGGGAAAAAAAACCCUAAUAAUUUGGUCCUGAUUUUAUUGGGAGAUCUUGCAACAGUAAUUGAGAGGUCUGCCUGUGGGCUAAAACAGCUCUUAGAAAGUUGCAAGUAAGAACUUGAUACAAAGCCCUUCUAAAGGAGACAAAUCCUAACUCCAGGUGGCAACUGUAGACUUGCACAUUGUCAGCUGUGUCCAGGUGCUCACAAACAGGCAUUACAACAUAGAGGUAGAGGUGUCUUUGCUGGAACUGGAGUGCAAGGGAGUAUCAGCUAUGGGCUCUAAGGCAGUUUUUCACAUUCAUGUGAGUGUAACAAUCUUUGACCUUGGUUUUAAGGUUCAUAAAGCCUGUUACUCUGCAAAAGGCUAAUAGAGCAAAAGCAGAUUAGACUUUCCUAAAUGAGUUGUACACAUCUGAGUUGGGUUCCUUUGUUCUGGGAGCAGUAGCAAAUAUUUGUCAUGUGAACAUAUUCACUACAAACUUCAGACAGUUUGUAUUUUUUAAAAAAAAGUGCUUUUCAGCUUAUUGCUGCAGGGAAACGGGUUCUCCCAAAUCAAUUGGCACAGACAAUACAAAGAAGCUAGAGAAACAAGUCUGCCUACUGGGACUUGAGACUUUUUCUCUAUAUCCUUUUGCACAAACAAAACUGAAAGUGCAGGUCCUUCAAAA